UCCUCAAACUCAAACUCCGCCACCUCCUCCGCAGUCGUGUCUUUGGCCUGUGUCGCAUUAACCUCAGCGUUCUCAGCAGCAGUUGCAGAUAUAUCCGCCGUUGCCGCAACCGGUCCGGCAGUGCUCGUUGCAUCCCAACUCCGGCCAAACUUGCUUCUAAACGCCGCCAGCCGCCCUGCCUCAUCCUCCUCGACGUUUCGCAGCUUUUCGCUGGACGGAUUCCAUAGUGGUGCAUUCCGCGUGUCGCGUGUUGAGCGGUAGACCGCCAGGGGGGAGGUGGUGCGGUGGGUGAAAGUGCUGCCGUCCGAGAGGGUUAUUAGCUGUGUAAAGGUGUAUGGACGCUUAGGCCGUCGGAGGAGUGUGGCAUGUCUGCAUUGUAUGCAGAUGAAGGUAAUUCUGGGAUUGGAGAGGACCGUGGUGGCAGUGUGGCGGAUGGGAAAGGGUAGAGACAUCGUGUGUUGUGUUGUGUGUGUCGUAUGGCUUCUAUUUCGUGAUGGGU
rnacentral:sRNA from 2 species